CUGUUGUAUGGAAGGACCGAAGCUUAGCAGUUCCCUUGAUAAGGAUGGAAGGUGUCCUGGUGGCAUACACAACAUACCUGUGGUUAAGGCAUUGCCACUUACUUCAUGGUAUCUAGCCAGCUAAUGAG
ensembl:snRNA